AUGGCGGCGGCUGCGGCGGCGGCGUCUCUGGCGAUCCGUCUCACGGCGCUCGUCGUGGUGCUCGUCGUCUUCUGCCCGACGGCGUCCGCGGCGCCGAAGGGGAAGAAGUACAAGGUCGGCGGUCCUGACGGGUGGCGCGUGCCCCCGAAGGCGGACAAGGAGAUGGCGUACGUCAAGUGGGCGUCCAACAUAACCUUCUUCGUCGGGGACUCCGUCGAGUUCGUGUACAAGAACGACUCGGUGAUCAAGGUGAGCAAGGUUGGUUACUACCACUGCAACGAGACGGCGGGCAUCGGCACCGGCCCCGGGCCGAGGGAUGGCAAAACGCUCUUCAUCCUCGACGCGCCAGGCUUCGUCUACUUCGCCAGCUCCAACCUCAGACACUGCAAGGAUGGCCAGAAGCUCCUAAUUAAAGUCCUCGACCCCGAGCAGCGGCCGCCGGCAUCAGCAUCGUCGCCGUUAGAGGCCCCGACGGAUCGAUCAUCUCCGGAGCCAGGGCCGGCCUCCACGGAGCACUCAUCCGCCAUGGGAGGGCCAUUCGUGGCGCCUCUCGCCCGCGCCAUGGCACAAGCUGCAACAUUGGUCCUGGCCUGCUUUAUGUGA
rnacentral:rRNA from 1 species